UACGUAGGCAGCGAGCGUUGUUCGGAGUUACUGGGCGUAAAGAGUGCGUAGGCGGUUUUCCAAGUUUGGUGUGAAAUCUCCCGGCUUAACUGGGAGGGUGCGCCGAAAACUGGAAGGCUUGAGUAUGGGAGAGGUAAGCGGAAUUCCUGGUGUAGCGGUGAAAUUCGUAGAUAUCGAGAGGAACACCGGUGGCGAAGGCGGCGAUCUGGACGAUGACUGACGCUGAGACGCGAAAGCGUGGGGAGCAAACAGG
rnacentral:rRNA from 1 species